UGCUUAACAAUAUAAAGAAUUGGGGGGAGACUACUGAUGAUCUUCUUUUUUUCUAAAGUGUGCUUCUAUGUUUCGGCUGUCUGCAGUUUAUUUGAUGACCGUCUUUGUAUCAGGUGAUAAAUUAUUUACUUUAUCCAACAUGCCAUAAUUUACGUGUUAGACAGGAUUCCCAGGGUCGCUUCAACCUCUAUAGGGUGUUUAGCUUUCUCCAUUUUCUCUCACACACCCACAAUCAUUGUGCUCUGCAUAAAAUAAACGUGAUGAAUUACCUUAGAAUCACAUAUGAAUUUGAUAUCAUUUGAAAAAAGAUAUUGGUUCAUAUUGCAUUUUUCUUUAUGUUGAGGGUAUCAAGGAAGAACUUGUUUUGUCUCCUGGCCACGCACUUCAUUUAUUGCAGCUGGAGAAGAACAUCGCUAUGUUGGUUUAAAUAAUUUCAACUUGUAGAGCAGCAGAAGCCACACUAUAUUUUACACUGAUGGUUGAAAGUAGAACCUAAAUGAGGCGAUACUAGGGUUCUUGCAGAACAAUGAACAGAUCACUGAUUCGGGUCACUUCUCUGCGGUAUUUCAACCUUGACUACAACUAAGUCGUCAGCGUCACCAAUGGGUCUCCCCGAAGAUGUUAGAGUAAUUGCUUGGGGUCUUUCUCUUGAGAGACCGACAAUGAUAUUAUACGGUAUUGACAACAUCCGCGAUUUGUUUGGACACAAGGUAACCACGAGAUCUUUACUUCUUCUGACUUCUUUGUAUAUCAAUAUUUGUGUGUGUGUACUCAACUCAUUUACAAUAUGGCUUGUCGAAUUUUUGAUUCUUUUUGGUUAUGUACGAUACAAUUUGUGUUUA